UCGGGAAUAUUGCGCAAUGGAGGAAACUCUGACGCAGUGACGCCGCGUAUAGGAAGAAGGUUUUCGGAUUGUAAACUAUUGUCGUUAGGGAAGAUACAAGACAGUACCUAAGGAGGAAGCUCCGGCUAACUACGUGCCAGCAGCCGCGGUAAUACGUAGGGAGCAAGCGUUAUCCGGAUUUAUUGGGUGUAAAGGGUGCGUAGACGGGAAAACAAGUUAGUUGUGAAAUCCCUCGGCUUAACUGAGGAACUGCAACUAAAACUGUUUUCUUGAGUGUUGGAGAGGAAAGUGGAAUUCCUAGUGUAGCGGUGAAAUGCGUAGAUAUUAGGAGGAACACCGGUGGCGAA
rnacentral:rRNA from 1 species